UACAGAGGGGGCGAGCGUUAUUCGGAAUUAUUGGCGUAAAGGGCGCGUAGGCGGCUUUUCAAGUGACGGGUGAAAUCCCUCGGCUUAACCGAGGAACUGCCUGUCAGACUGGAAGGCUUGAGACCGGGAGAGGUGAGUGGAAUUCCCAGUGUAGCGGUGAAAUGCGUAGAUAUUGGGAGGAACACCAGUGGCGAAGGCGGCUCACUGGACCGGAACUGACGCUGAGGCGCGAAAGCGUGGGGAGCAAACAGG
rnacentral:rRNA from 1 species